rnacentral:rRNA from 1 species
UACGAAGGGGGCUAGCGUUGCUCGGAAUCACUGGGCGUAAAGGGUGCGUAGGCGGGUUUUUAAGUCAGGGGUGAAAUCCUGGAGCUCAACUCCAGAACUGCCUUUGAUACUGGGGAUCUCGAGUCCGGAAGAGGUGAGUGGAACUCCGAGUGUAGAGGUGAAAUUCGUAGAUAUUCGGAAGAACACCAGUGGCGAAGGCGGCUCACUGGUCCGGUACUGACGCUGAGGUGCGAAAGCGUGGGGAGCAAACAGG